GCCAGACUCCUACGGGAGGCAGCAGUGAGGAAUAUUGGUCAAUGGACGCAAGUCUGAACCAGCCAUGCCGCGUGCAGGAAGACGGCUCUAUGAGUUGUAAACUGCUUUUGUACGAGGGUAAAUGCAGGUACGUGUAUCUGUUUGAAAGUAUCGUACGAAUAAGGAUCGGCUAACUCCGUGCCAGCAGCCGCGGUAAUACGGAGGAUCCAAGCGUUAUCCGGAUUUAUUGGGUUUAAAGGGUGCGUAGGCGGUUUUAUAAGUUAGAGGUGAAAUCUCGGGGCUCAACUCCGAAAUUGCCUCUAAUACUGUAGGACUAGAGAGUAGUUGCGGUAGGCGGAAUGUAUGGUGUAGCGGUGAAAUGCUUAGAGAUCAUACAGAACACCGAUUGCGAAGGCAGCAUACCGGCGCCCAACUGACGCUGAAGCACGAAAGCGUGGGUAUCGAACAGGAUUAGAUACCCCCGUA
rnacentral:rRNA from 1 species